UACGUAGGAGACGAGCGUUGUCCGGAAUUACUGGGCGUAAAGCGCGUGUAGGCGGAUGAGCAAGUCUGCUGUGAAAGCUCCUGGCUUAACCGGGAGUGGUCGGUGGAAACUGCUCGUCUGGAGGACGGUAGAGGUAGGUAGAAUUCCCGGUGUAGUGGUGAAAUGCGUAGAGAUCGGGAGGAAUACCUGUGGCGAAGGCGGCUUACUGGGCCGGACCUGACGCUGAGACGCGAAGGCGUGGGGAGCGAACGGG
rnacentral:rRNA from 1 species